rnacentral:rRNA from 1 species
GAUGAACGCUGGCGGCGUGCCUAAUACAUGCAAGUCGAGCGAACGGACGAGAAGCUUGCUUCUCUGAGGUUAGCGGCGGACGGGUGAGUAACACGUGGAUAACCUACCUAUAUGACGGGGAUAACAUCGUGAAACCGGAGCUAAUACCAGAUGAUGUGUUGAACCGCAUGGUUCAAAAGUGAAAGGCGGUCUUGCUGUCACAUAUAGAUGGAUCCGCGCUGCAUUAGCUAGUUGGUAAGGUAACGGCUUACCAAGGCAACGAUGCAUAGCCAACCUGAGAGGGUGAUCGGCCACACUGGAACUGAGACACGGUCCAGACUCCUACGGGAGGCAGCAGUAGGGAAUCUUCCGCAAUGGGCGAAAGCCUGACGGAGCAACGCCGCGUGAGUGAUGAAGGUCUUCGGAUCGUAAAACUCUGUUAUUAGGGAAGAACAUAUGUGUAAGUAACUGUGCACAUCUUGACGGUACCUAAUCAGAAAGCCACGGCUAACUACGUG